UACGUAGGGGGCGAGCGUUGUCCGGAGUUACUGGGCGUAAAGGGCACGCAGGCGGUCUGCCAAGUUUGCAGUGACAGUCCUCGGCUUAACUGAGGAAGGCCUGUGAAAACUGGGAGACUUGAGGGCCAGAGAGGGACAUAGAAUUCCGGGUGGAGUGGUGAAAUGCGUAGAUAUCCGGAGGAAUACCAAAGGCGAAGGCAGUGUCCUGGCUGGCAACUGACGCUGAGGUGCGAAAGCUAGGGGAGCGAACAGG
rnacentral:rRNA from 1 species